GAGUGUGCCUGUCAGCAUCCAGAAGCACGUGUUUCUUAUAUAGUCCAGUCCCGUGAAGAUCAAAAGGCUUCAACGCUGACAAGAAAACAGAGAGAAUCUUUAAACUCUCUUUAAGAUUAAACAAUACCCAAUGACCCUGGAAACAAAAAGGAAAAUUGCAGUCUAUAUUGCCUGGCUUGGACAGAUGGGCAUCCGGAUAGCCUGCCAGUCACCAUGAAAUAUACCUCUCCUACCUGUGAAGAAACCUGGGACCUCUAAUUCUCCUGAACAUGAUUCUUUCAGAGAAACAGCUGUACACUGUCUUGGAUCCAAAAGUUGCAUUCUUCAACCCCCAUUGGCCAAGCUACUGCUAUUUGUUUACCCACUUCCUCAUGCCACACCCAGUGGUGAAGGCUGACUGUAUCUGGAGGUCUCUCAAUGGAUCUGCUCAUUUGGUUAGACUGGCUGGCCAGCAAGCCUCAGGGAUCCUCUUCUCUCUUCCUUCCCAGGUCUGGGCUUUAAGGUGGGCUGAUUUCCUCGAGGCCCUGUGGUGUCGCUGAGCACCCAGUCAAGGACACAAGACCAACCACCUUCUCUCCAGUGGAACCGGUGGGCUCAGAGGCACUGUCGGGCACGAGGAUUUCACGACCAAGUUCCAGCGACUGAAGGACACAGGCAACUUGAACGUAGCCCAUAUCUGAAAGGGCAGGCAAGAAAUAGAAUCGAGAACAAAGAAAAAGUUGCUUUUUGAUGCAAAAAGUUUUGGUUCUUGCCCUGUGGGAGUUCCUGUCCUGACCUCCUUCAAUGACAGACUGUCACGUGGAAGUAUAAAGCAAAUAAACCGUUUUCUCCUCAA